AUUGAACGCUGGCGGCAGGCCUAACACAUGCAAGUCGAACGGUAACGGGAAGAAGCUUGCUUCUUUGCUGACGAGUGGCGGACGGGUGAGUAAUGUCUGUGAAACUGCCUGAUGUAGGGGGAUAACUACUGGAAACGGUAGCUAAUACCGCAUAACGUCGCAAGACCAAAAAGGGGGACCUUCGGGCCUCUUGCCAUCGGAUGUGCCCAGAUGGGAUUAGCUAGUAGGUGGGGUAACGGCUCACCUAGGCGACGAUCCCUAGCUGGUCUGAGAGGAUGACCAGCCACACUGGAACUGAGACACGGUCCAGACUCCUACGGGAGGCAGCAGUGGGGAAUAUUGCACAAUGGGCGCAAGCCUGAUGCAGCCAUGCCGCGUGUAUGAAGAAGGCCUUCGGGUUGUAAAGUACUUUCAGCGGGGAGGAAGGGAGUAAAGUUAAUACCUUGGCUCAUUGACGUUACCCGCAGAAGAAGCACCGGCUAACUCCGUG
rnacentral:rRNA from 1 species